CUAAACCAGGACUAAACCAGGUCUAAACCAGGACUAAACCAGGACUAAACCAGGACUGAACCAGGACUAAACCAGGACUAAACCAGGUCUAAACCAGGACUAAACCAGGUCUAAACCAGGACUAAACCAGGACUGAACCAGGACUGAACCAGGACUGAACCAGGACUAAACCAGGACUGAACCAGGACUGAACCAGGACUAAACCAGGACUAAACCAGGACUGAACCAGGACUGAACCAGGACUAAACCAGGACUAAACCAGGACUAAACCAGGACUAAACCAGGACUAAACCAGGACUGAACCAGGACUGAACCAGGUCUAAACCAGGACUAAACCAGGACUAAACCAGGUCUAAACCAGGACUAAACCAGGACUAAACCAGGACUGAACCAGGACUAAACCAGGACUCAACCAGGACUAAACCAGGACUGAACCAGGACUGAACCAGGACUAAACCAGGACUGAACCAGGACUAAACCAGGACUGAACCAGGACUAAACCAGGACUGAACCAGGAAUAAACCAGGACUAAACCAGGACUAAACCAGGACUAAACCAGGACUGAACCAGGACUAAACCAGGACUAAACCAGGACUAAACCAGGACUGAACCAGGACUGAACCAGGU
ensembl:lncRNA